ACACACACACACACACACACACACACACACACACACACACACACACACACACACACACACACACACACACACACACACAUUUCUCUUUCCCCAGGUAAGUGAUACUCUUUUCAGUACACACACAUUUAUCUUUCCCCAGGUAAAUGAUACCCUUCUCAGUACACACACACACACACACACACACACACACACACACAUUUCUCUUUCCCCAGGUAAAUGAUACCCUUCUCAGUACACACACACACUCUCUCACACACACACACACAUUUCUCUUUCCCCAGGUAAGUGAUACUCUUUUCAGUACACACACACGUACGUUAGCAGUGUUGGUUUUAUGUAUUAUAUUGUGAUCAGAUGUCUGCCUAAUGCAAACCAAAUGGUGGUGAGCAGCUCAAAAGGUUAAACGAUACACCAAUAUAUCAGUUUUAUUGAUCUUCCACAGGCAAAAUCCGACAUCACGCUUUAAUCCUCGCCGUUGUAGGACAUAAAUCAGAGUUUCUGACGUUUAGGGUGUUUGACAGUUAACUUAAUGAAAUCUAUACAUGGUGAGAUCAUGACCUGGUGUGGCCACAGUGUCAGCAUGGUGGAACGUAGUUGGAAAGUCGUCAGGGUGCCUGUCUGGGCCUUUAAAAGCCGUUAAAAUACUUCACUGAAAUGAACUUAAAGGGGUUGUCCAUCAUACCAGGAGCCUUUUUACUUUACAGGGGAGGUCAGUGGAGGUACAGGAUUUUCUGCCUUUACUGUGUUUAGGGUUACUACCCACCAAGCUGAAGGCAGUUAGUAUAUCAGAGGAGUCUGCACUAAUGAAAGAUUUACACACGUUGUGUUUUUACUCCAGAAAGUUCAGGAGUCAGUCAUUUAUGUGUAUUGAGUUAAACUUAACCAAAGUCUAAUUCAAUUGCGCAGUGAAGUUGUUAAAUGUGCAGUCAAAAUACUCAAAUUUAUUCCAACGCUUGUUAAUUUGCACAAUGGCUAUAUAGUGGGAAAAGGGCUAGUGAACAUAGUCAGCUAUCUCCUAGGUGUGUUCCCUACAACAUCAAUGGUGAACAUAGUCAGCUAUCUCCUAGGUGUGUUCCCUACAACAUCAAUGGUGAACAUAGUCAGCUAUCUCCUAGGUGUGUUCCCUACAACAUCAAUGGUGAACAUAGUCAGCUAUCUCCUAGGUGUGUUCCCUACAACAUCAAUGGUGAACAUAGUCAGCUAUCUCCUAGGUGUGUUCUCUACAACAUCAAUGGUGAACAUAGUCAGCUAUCUCCUAGGUGUGUUCCCUACAACAUCAAUGGUGAACAUAGUCAGCUAUCUCCUAGGUGUGUUCCCUACAACAUCAAUGGUGAACAUAGUCAGCUAUCUCCUAGGUGUGUUCCCUACAACAUCAAUGGUGAACAUAGUCAGCUAUCUCCUAGGUGUGUUCCCUACAACAUCAAUGGUGAACAUAGUCAGCUAUCUCCUAGGUGUGUUCUCUACAACAUCAAUGGUGAACAUAGUCAGCUAUCUCCUAGGUGUGUUCCCUACAACAUCAAUGGUGAACAUAGUCAGCUAUCUCCUAGGUAUGUUCUCCACAACAUCAAUGGUGAACAUAGUCAAUAUCUCCUAGGUGUGUUCCCUACAACAUCAAUGGUGAACAUAGUCAGCUAUCUCCUAGGUAUGUUCUCCACAACAUCAAUGGUGAACAUAGUCAGCUAUCUCCUAGGUAUGUUCUCCACAACAUCAAUGGUGAACAUAGUCAAUAUCUCCUAGGUAUGUUCUCCACAACAUCAAUGGUGAACAUAGUCAGCUAUCUCCUAGGUAUGUUCUCUCCAACAUCACUCCUCAGAACGUGCUGUUCCAAUCCUCAAGGCUCAGCAAAGUAACAGCAUAUUCUAUAGGUGGCUCCCAUGUAAAACAAUUCGGUAUUUAACAACCAUGUCCAUUCUAGCUUUUCCAUUUCUAUGACUUCCUUCUUGAAGUGCUGUCUGUCUCCUGCUGUAGUUGAACUUGACCCCGUCCUCUCCUCUGUUUGAGAAGACCCAGGGCACCGUGCGAGACGUGGCGUUGAGACGCCCUCUGUCUGAUAGUGACCUCCUAAUGAACUGCAGUGUGGGACUGACUGUGGUACAGUGCUUUAGCAGCUUUACUAUGAACUCUGACCUCUCACCCCACAUCAAAGGGAGCAGGGGUCAGCUGGGACCCCCUGUUAAACACCAAUAUUAUCAGUGCAGCAACCUGGCUCCUGUAAAGCACCACAAAGUGGCAGAUAGACUUUAACAUCCCUCAGAGAGAGAGAGAGGGAGAGAAAGAUAGAGGGAGGGAGGCAGGGAUAGAGAGAGGGAGGGAGGGAGGUUUGACUCUUUCUUCUCUGUCUACUCUGCAGUGCAUGUCCGUUGGCUGUAUUUACUUAACAAGUUUCAUCACUGACUGAUGUAGUGGUCAACAUUGUGGUAUAUCCAACACUGGGCAGGACAGGUGUUGAUUGGUUGGAGCUAUAACCCAGAGCAGAACUCUUGUUUGGGGUCUUGUCUCUGAUGGCUCAGCCCAACGCAAGUGAAUGAUGGGCUGUUCUUUUUGGCACAUCUCUUUCUCUUCUCUCUCUCCUCCUCAUCUCCUAAAGGACGGUGUCAGAGCCCAGUCUCUUGUCUGGAGGCAUCUGGAGUGGGUUAGGCUCUUCUGGGGGAGUACAGUGUAUUAAAGGAAGAGGGAGACUGUUAGUGACAAGUGUUGGAGAGAGAGAGUGGAGAUGCUAUCGCUAGAGUCCUGUCUGUUUGCUGAGAGGGGUGGGGGUGAGUUGGGAGUGUGUCUGGUCUGGGUCUAGAAUAAAUGGCAGCUACUAUGCUCUAGUUCCAGUGAUGUCAGAGUCCACCACAUAGCCACUCUUAAAUAAGGACCAAUUCUCACAACCACCCCACACCCAGUGGCUAAAACCACUGACAGUUAUGAUGAGAGCUCGUCAGAAUCACUCUGCAUUGUUUUAUAGCCGGAGCACAUACUCUGACAACAUGUUGCCAUUCAUUUCUGAAUUUUCAUUUCUAUGUGGUGAAACGCAUGACCAUAAAGUGGGUCUUCCACUUUGAAUAUUCCAAGCAUCACAUUCUGAGACAUUAUGACUUAUAGGAAAAUGUUUGUGGAGUUUACCGCCCUCUAGUGGCUGUAAAAUGUACAUGCCCACACCUGAUUUCCAUUGGCUAACGUGUGUUUU